rnacentral:rRNA from 7 species
UCGUAGUCCGGAUUGGAGUCUGCAACUCGACUCCAUGAAGUCGGAAUCGCUAGUAAUCGUGGAUCAGAAUGCCACGGUGAAUACGUUCCCGGGCCUUGUACACACCGCCCGUCACACCAUGGGAGUGGGUUGCAAAAGAAGUAGGUAGCUUAACCUUCGGGAGGGCGCUUACCACUUUGUGAUUCAUGACUGGGGUGAAGUCGUAACAAGGUAACCGUAGGGGAACCUGCGGUUGGA